GACUCUCGGCAACGGAUAUCUCGCCUCUCGCAUCGAUGAAGAACGUAGUGAAAUGCGAUACUUGAUAUGAAUUGCAAAAUCUCGUGAACCAUCGAGUCUUUGAACGCAAGUUGCGUCCGAGGCCUCCUAGUCGAGAAAUU
rnacentral:rRNA from 1 species